rnacentral:lncRNA from 1 species
UUUUUGAAAGUACGGUAGUUUUCGUGUUUAUAAAUUAUUUUUGAUGAUGGGACAUUCAAUUCGAAGAUUGGUUUUAUUAGAUAUGAUUUAUACUAAAUUUAGAGCUAUUUAGAAACUAAAUUUUAUGUUUUUUUUAUUUCGUUUGUUUAGUGAACGAAUAACCACAAAAUAAAAAAUAAAAAUAAAAAUUUCAUAAAAAGUAGUGAUAAAAGACUCAAAUUUCAAAUCGAAAGUAUUAAUAUUGCUCUUGAUAUUAAGUAAAAUUUUUUAUUAAAAUUUCAUAUAAUUUGAAUUGUUCUAGACAGUUGAACUUACAAACGUGUCAUCUCGGCUAUUGAAAUAGUCAUUUUUGAGACUUUUUAAUCACUUGAUAAAUAAUAUCGAAAAAUAAUAAAAUUUGAUUUUCAAAUAGUUCUAAUAGUAUAAAUCAUGCCUAAGAAAACCAAUCGUCGAAUCGGUGUUCCAUCAUCAAACAAAAAUUUACAGCCGCGGAGACCUCCGUGCAUUCAAAAGCAUAGAAGCCUAGCUCUAUAUAGAGAGAGAGAGUCCGGCUACUAUAUUCUUAUAAGUAUAAUUAUUUUCGUACUCAUAAGUCGUUUUUAAUGAUAGAGCUUCCGAAUCGACGAUUCAUACCGUUAAAUAUUAUCUAGAACAUUUAAAACUUUUAGAAAUCAAAUUUUAUAAUUUUUUAAUAUCAUUUACCUUACGAUCCAAAAAUCUCAAAACUGGACAAUUUUUAGCUACCGAUAUAGGAUACUUACUAGUUUAACGGUGUAAAAAAUAAAAUUCGGUUGGAUUUUUGAUAGAAAAUUUUAGAAAAAACAUUAAACACCACCCCUCUGGUAUCACACUUUCUUACUUUAAUUAGUACCCUAUGGUUUAAAAUGUAUCAAUUUAGUGCCAUAUGGUUUCAUUUUUAUCUUUUUAUUAUCGAUUCCACUAAUUUUUUUAUUAAAUCAGUGACAAAGUUAAAACUAAAGAAUACUAAAAUAAAUAUUCGAUAAACUUAUAUCAUUAUAUGGCGCCUCAACUAAUGAAGUGCGAAGAACAAAUAAGCCUUCAGCUAAAGGGUUUGGUAACAGUGACGCAACCAACUCUUCUAACCAACCCUCCACUGAUAAAGGAAAAGCUAUAAUAAUUGGAGGGGAUGAUGUUUCAGCUAAACAGGAUAGGCCAACUUUUGAGCAAAGAUUGAAUAGGGUCUACUUUUUCCAACGGGAAACCGUUCCGAAACUGUUUCGACAAGCUCUUAAGUCUCAAAGACUCACUCUGCAAUUUUUUGUAUAUAAUUUAACAAAAUAUUAACGAAAAUGUUGACGAAAAGAUAAAAAUAAAACUACAGGAUACUAACUUGAUACACUUUAAAUCACAAGAUACUAAAAUAAGAAAGUACAAAACCACAAGAAUGAUAUUUAAAGUUUAACCAAAAUUCUAUUCACUAUCUAGAUAAAGAUCAAUAAUUUUGAUCUUAGAUUAAAGGGUCUGAUCAUCCAUUUUUAGUAUGCUGUUCGAUUUUGACCAUUCAUUUUAUACACGUUUGAUAAGCUUUAUUAUGAUUUCGAAAAAUUACGAAAUUUAUUUUUUAAAAGCUUCAAAUAUUCUAGAUCAUAUUUAAUAGAGUUGAUCAUCAAUUCGGAAACACCAUUAUAAAAAAUAACUUAUGAGUACGAAGAACUCUAUAUUCAUAAGAGUAGAGUAUCCCUUCUCUCUCUCUCUCUCUCUCUAUAUAUAUAUAAU